AACGAACGCUGGCGGCAUGCCUAACACAUGCAAGUCGAACGAGACCUUCGGGUCUAGUGGCGCCCGGGUGCGUAACGCGUGGGAACCUGCCCUUAUGUUCGGCAUAACUCCCCGACAGGGGUGCUAAUACCGGAUCAUGUCUUCGGACCAAGGAUUUAUCGCCUUUGGUUGGGCCCGCGUUGGAUUCGCUCGUUGGUAGGGUAAUAGCCUACCAAGGCGACGAUCCAUAGCUGGUCUGAGAGGAUGAUCAGCCACACUGGGACUGGGACACGGCCCAGACUCCUACGGGAGGCAGCAGUGGGGAAUAGUGGACAAUGGGCGAAAGCAUGAUCCAGCAAGGACGCGUGAGUGAUGAAGGCAUUAGGGUUGUAAAGCGCUUUUAACCGGGAUGAUAAUGACAGUACCGGGAGAAUAAGCUCCGGCUAACUCCGUG
rnacentral:rRNA from 1 species